UUCAUUAAGGUACUACGACUCACCACAACAUGGUCGCCGGCUGCUGCACCAACGAGGUGACGGUCAACGUCAGCGUCCACAGGAUGUGGAAGGCGGCCGCCUGCGAGGAUCACAUCCUGCUGCCAAAGAUCAUUCCUCAGUACUUCGCUGGCGCAGAGCUCGUCGGCGAUGGCGAAGCUGGCAGCACAAAGACCUUCCACUUCACUCCAGGUUUAGAUUUUGAUGCUGCUUUCCGACAUUCGUGUGCGUGCGAGAAGAGAUCGCAAAACAAGGAUAAAAAAUAAUCUCACAUCGAUAAAAAGAAUCGGAUGAUACAUAUCGAAACCUUUUUGGUUGAAUUGAUGUAUGAUCUGUUAAUUGGAACUAAUUUGGCUAUUGUUGCGAUCCAUCGAACUGCAGCCGCAGAGCCACUGACCUUCGUGAAGGACCAUGUUGAGGUGUUGGACCACGGAAGCCACACGAUGAGGUACAAGGCGAUCGAAGGAGGUCACCUCGGCCGCACGCUCAAGUCGCACGCGUUCGAGGUCAAGUUCGAAGCGGCGGGCGCCGACAGCUGUGUCGUGAAGACCAAGACAGAAUACGAUACGAUCGACGACGCGCCGCUGCCGGAGGACGAGGUGCAGAAGAUGACGGACGUGCCAGUACGGAUGAUGAAGUCGGUGGAAGCCUAUCUGAUAGCCAACCCCGGUGUUUGUGCCUGAGCCCCUGAGCCUCUGAGCCGGUGGGCUUUCGUGUACCGACGUUGGUGCUUCCAGUGUCGUAGUGCUUGUCAUUGGGCGUGGAUCAAUCAAUAAUGAGGUGAUGCAGCAGUGCUGGAAUCAUCACCUUUAGAGUGAGAGAGUGAGAGAGUGAGAGAGAGAUAGGACAUGACAUGUUGAUGCCAUCUCUCUCUUUGUCUGUUCUUUCCAUCUUCUGCAAUGUGGUGUUUUGUGUGGUCGUUGAAGGACAUAUAUCUACAAAUAAGAUGUGAUUUCUUUGGUAUCAUGUAAUCCUUCUUUUUUGGUAUCAUUCUUAGUAGUCUCUUUUAAAGAUUCAAAGACUAGCGUAAUCCAAAUUAAACAUGGAUUUAAUUGAUUUUACUUAAACUAUAUGAUACGUUUAUAAUGUUUGUUCGUAACGAGUCAACCUUCUCGUAAUUUUAUUUACUCUCAUCCAUAAAUAAAUCAGUUACCGAUAAAUGAAUGCAUGAACAAACAAAUCGAUGUCACCUUAGUAAAAUAUACCUUGGGAUUAUAUAACUAAAAUUGAACAAAAUACCUUCUUAGACGACUAAAAUGGAUGCAUUUUGCUGAAAGAUUUUACGAUAAAAAAUUGAAGGUUAAUUCGUCGUCCAUAAAGUUUAAGUACAUAAGUGAUAGGUUCAUCCAUCGUCCAUAAAGUUUAAGUACAUAAGUGAUAAAACUUCAUCCAAUCUUAUGUUUGUUCAAAAUUUAUAUAAUUAAAUUUGAACAAAAUAUCUUACUAAAAUGGAUGCAUUUUGCUUGCUCUGAAAAAAUUUUACGAUAAAAAAUUGAAGGCUAAUCCAUCGUCAAUAAAAUUUAAGUACAUAAGUGAUAACGUAUCUUAGAACUUUCAUCCAAUCUUGUGUCGGUUCAAAAUUAAAUGUUAACAUGACAUGAGAUUUGACGUAAUAGUGAUGUGACCUUAUCUACAAACUCGAUAGAAACAAAUUAAUUCUUCUAUUUUUUAAGAUAAAUACUGGUAAUACGGCAACAUCAAAAAUAUUAUAUCGUACAAUUUGGUUCUUCCUCUUAGUUUCAAACAUGAAGCUCCACAAAGACGGCAAUAAAAUAAAAUUAACGAAGAAAAAUGCAACACGACAUCAACUCAUCGUGAUCUCACUCACCCUAACAAAGAAUAUAAUAAUAAACUACACCGUUGAAUGAACUGUUAAUUCUUUCAUUAAAUGCAUGAAAUACAUUUAUGGUGAAACUUUGUUUCUAACAUACAUACAUACAUACAUACAUACAUACAUACAUAUUUUAAUCUGACUAGCAUAUGCUUGAAGAAUCCGAUCAUUCUCGACUACGGCUGAUGAUGAUAUGGGGCUGCUCAACAAUGAAGACCGCAAAGUCUGCAUGCUUGUGAGCUUUGAAGUCUUCGCUUCAGUCAACAAAUACUAGCUAGUUUGAAUGCUUCCAAGUUUACCAUGACACCCACUUCUUAGAACAUUGAAUUGGGAUGAGGAUGCCAACAAGAGAAGAUGAACCGAUUCAUUGGCAUGGAGCGAUCUUCGCGUCAUCUCAGACCCCCCCCUUUUUCCAAUCUAAUCGAUGAGGUUACCUAAAGUUCAAACUUCAUCUGGAAGCCCGAGAUGACCCGGCACUCCAUCGCCGUCUAUAAAUGGACUCUUCCCCUUCCCUUCACCACCAACCCAUCACAGCCUGCAGAGCUCUCAUCCGGCAAAACACCUUCAUCGACGCCAUGGUUGCCGGGUGCUGCACCGAAGAGCUGACGCUCAAUGUCAGCGUCCACAGAGUAUGGAAGGCGGCCGCCUGCGAGGAUCACAUCCUGCUGCCAAAGA
rnacentral:lncRNA from 1 species